UACGUAGGUGGCAAGCGUUGUCCGGAUUUACUGGGCGUAAAGAGCGCGCAGGCGGUCGUUCAAGUCGCGUGUGAAAGCCCCCGGCUCAACUGGGGAGGGUCACGCGAUACUGAUCGACUCGAAGGCAGGAGAGGGUAGUGGAAUUCCCGGUGUAGUGGUGAAAUGCGUAGAUAUCGGGAGGAACACCAGUGGCGAAGGCGGCUUCCUGGCCUGUUCUUGACGCUGAGGCGCGAAAGCUAGGGGAGCAAACGGGG
rnacentral:rRNA from 1 species